GUGCCCGUGAAGGUCCGAAUGACGAAUAGCCCCAGAAGAUGAGGAAGAUGCAGUGACAAAGGCAAUACACCUUGGAGCUGAACGGCCAGACCAGCCAAUGUUUUUCCCUUACAAAGGAACUGUGUUCAACAGCUGUGAUGAGGCGAAAGAGUUCUACAACUUAUACUCCUGGGAGAAAGGUUUCGGGAUAAGAAUAGGGCGGUGAUGCAAGAACAGCAAAGAGUAUAGAACUAGACAAGAUUUUGUCUGCUCGUGUGAGGGAACAGAGAAGAGCACAACAGCAGCUUCAAUUAGGACUGAAUGCAAGGCAAUGAUCAGACUUCUCAGAUGAAAUGAUCAUUCAUGGUACAUCAGCAGGGUGGUUGACACACACAACCACCCAUUUUCAGCAGGCUAUGGUGAAAACAAGCAAUGGAAAUCACAUAGUGAAAUAGAUCCAGUAACAAAGGAUUUGGUUAAGAAGCUUAGGGAGAACAAUAUCAGUGUUGGGAGGAUCUGCAACAUCCUAGGUGUGUCGGAUGCAACCUCAAUCAAAACAAUAAGAAAGGAGUCUGUACGGUCCUAGUGUGCAAAACUGUUCCAAGAAAACCUGAAAGAUGAUAUUGGAAAGACAAUGAGGCUUUUGGAGGAUAUGAAGAAAACUGACCCUGGGCUUGAAGUAAGGUUCCAAAUGGAUGGCAAUGGCGCGAUGAAAACAAUGCUUUGGUGCACCGGUAAAAAUAGAGUGGACUACGAGAAUUUUGGUGAUGCCAUAACAUUUGAUACAACCUAUAGGACAAAUCUUUACAGCCUUCCAUUUGGACUUUUCGUCGGUGUAAACAACCAUUUCCAGUUGUGUUCGGUGGGGUGCUUCUAACGUCUGAGAAAACAGAUGAUUUCAAAUGGGCAUUCUCAAAUUUUGUGGAAAUAAUGAAUGGUAAAGCUCCCCUGACAAUGCUAACAGACCAGUGUGCCGCCAUGGCAAAGGCAAUAAAAUCAACACUACAUACUACAAGGCACAGAUGGUGCAGGUGGCACGUGCUAAAGGAUGCAAAAAAGAAGCUUGGGAACAUCUAUUCAAAAUGUAAGAAGUUCAAACAUGAAUUCAAUAAACUAAUAACUGAUGAGAUUGACAUAAGAAGAUUCGAGAAUGAAUGGCGAAAACUACUAAGGAAGUACCGCCUUGUCAAGAACAAGUACUUAAUGAGAUUGUUCAAGCACCGGGAGAAAUGGGCGAAACCAUAUUUCAUGGACAUAUUCUGCGCUGGAAUGACCAGCACACAGGAGUGAAAGCGCAAAUCAUAUGUUAAAAAGGUUCAUUCAACGGGCUGCACCAAUGCACCUUUUUGUGAGUAAAUUCAAUGAACUACAGAGUGACAGACACGACCAGGAAGGAAAGGAGCAGCAUUGUACUAAACAGGUAUGUGAUAAGCAAAAAUAGAUAACGAUAGUUGGUAUGACUAAGUCUCAUUAAACCAUGAUAAUAACUGUGCAGACACUAAUUGUUCAGUCCAAUCUCUCCUAUAACAGGUUCUCAGAAAAAAAAAAGCUAAAAGUAGGGGUUCCAAUAGAGCAUCAUGCCAAUAUAGUGUACACAAGAGCAAUGUACGAGAAAUUCUGUGAUGAGCUAUUUGAGUCAGGAU